AUUGACCACCCGGGCAACUGUGAGGCCCUCUACCGGCUUGAUGGCGUGCAUCUUUCGGAUGCGGGAAAUGUUAUUUGGCUUGAUGGCGUGCAUCUUUCAGAUGCGGGAAAUGACAUGUGGCUGACUGAUAUAGCAAUGGGUGUAAGGGAUUGGUUUCAGGCAUGAGAGUAUUGGCGGCGAGCGAUUGCUCGUGUGGCGGUAGGCAUUGGUAAGAAGGGGUUAAGAGGAUGUGGGGGGGGAGGAACGCCAUCACCUCCCCCCAGUGAGCGAAGGGUGGUCCGUUAAAGGACUCCGGGGGGCGUGGCCCUGUCCGAAGCCUAUGGAGGUGUGGGCCAAAGGCAUGCCCCCGAGCGGUGACCCGGGGGAGCUCCUAGUCGACGUGCCUUGGCAGGAGACUCCCCCGAUAUAGUGUUAACCCUUCCCCGUGUCUCCAGCAAAUGGGCUGGAGCCGGAUAGUCGUUAGGACCAAUGCCUAAGCCA
rnacentral:lncRNA from 1 species